UACUGAGGAGUCCCAUAAUAGGACGAAACGGCCGUCCA
rfam:Schistosoma mansoni strain Puerto Rico chromosome 4, complete genome